rnacentral:rRNA from 1 species
AGAGUUUGAUCAUGGCUCAGAACGAACGCUGGCGGCGUGGAUAAGACAUGCAAGUCGAACGCUGAUUUGUCGGUAGCAAUAUUGGCAAGUCGGAGUGGCGCAAGGGUGCGUAACACGUGGGCAAUCUGCCGUGAAGCCCGGAAUAACUCGCUGAAAGGCGAGCUAAUACCGGAUGUGAAAGUCGGGAGGCAUCUUUUGAUUUUCAAAGCUGGGGACCGCAAGGCCUGGCACUUCACGAUGAGCCCGCGGCCUAUCAGCUAGUUGGUGAGGUAACGGCUCACCAAGGCUUAGACGGGUAGCUGGUCUGAGAGGACGACCAGCCACACUGGAACUGAGACACGGUCCAGACACCUACGGGUGGCAGCAGUCGAGAAUUUUUCUCAAUGGGCGCAAGCCUGAAGGAGCGACGCCGCGUGGGGGAUGAAUGGCUUCGGCCCGUAAACCCCUAUCAUUUGCGAACAAAUUAUUUUACCUAACACGUAAAGUAUUGAUAGUAGCGGAAGAGGAAGGGACGGCUAACUCUGUGCCAGCAGCCGCGGUAAUACAGAGGUCCCAAGCGUUGUUCGGAUUCACUGGGCGUAAAGGGUGCGUAGGCGGUCGGGUAAGUCUGAUGUGAAAUCCCGCAGCUUAACUGCGGAACGGCAUUGGAUACUAUUCGGCUCGAGGAGUGGAGGGGAGACUGGAAUUCUCGGUGUAGCAGUGAAAUGCGUAGAUAUCGAGAGGAACACCUGUGGCGAAGGCGAGUCUCUGGACACUUCCUGACGCUGAGGCACGAAAGCCAGGGGAGCAAACGGGAUUAGAUACCCUAGUAGUCC